GACGAACGCUGGCGGCGUGCUUAACACAUGCAAGUCGAACGGUGAAGCGCCUUCCUUUUUGGUGGGUGUGGAUGAGUGGCGAACGGGUGAGUAACACGUGAGUAACCUGCCCCCUUCUUCUGGAUAACCGCAUGAAAGUGUGGCUAAUACGGGAUAUUCUGGGUCUGUCGCAUGAUGGGUCUGGGAAAGAUAUUGUUUCGGUGGGGGAUGGGCUCGCGGCCUAUCAGCUUGUUGGUGGGGUGAUGGCCUACCAAGGCGGUGACGGGUAGCCGGCCUGGGAGGGUGGACGGUCAUACUGGGAGUGCGACACGGCGCAGACUCCUACGGGAGGCAGCAGUGGGGAAUAGUGCACAGUGGGCGCAAGCCUGAUGCAGCGACGCCGCGUGAGGGAUGGAGGCCUUCGGGUUGUGAACCUCUUUCGCCAGUGAAGCAGGCCUGCCUCGUUUGUGGGUGGGUUGACGGUAGCUGGAUAAGAAGCGCCGGCUAACUACGUG
rnacentral:rRNA from 1 species